rnacentral:rRNA from 1 species
CCUACGGGAGGCAGCAGUGAGGAAUAUUGGUCAAUGGACGAGAGUCUGAACCAGCCAAGUCGCGUGAAGGAUGACUGCUCUAUGGGUUGUAAACUUCUUUUAUAUGGGAAUAAAAUGUUCCACGUGUGGGAUUUUGUAUGUCCAAUAUGAAUAAGGCUCGGCGAACUCCGUGCCAGCAGCCGCGGUAAUACGGAGGAUCCGAGCGUUAUCCGGCUUUAUUGGGUUUAACGGGAGCGUAGGUGGAUUGUUAAGUCAGUUGUGAAAGUUUGCGGCUCAACCGUAAAAUUGCAGUUGAAACUGGCAGUCUUGAGUACAGUAGAGGUGAGCGGAAUUCGUGGUGUAGCGGUGAAAUGCGUAGAUAUCACGAAGAACACCGAUGGCGAAGGCAGCUCACUGGACUGCAACUGACACUGAGGCUCGAAAGUGUGGGUAGCAAACAGGAUUAGAUACCCCUGUAGUC